AGCUCAGUGGCAGAGCGCUUGCCUAGCAUGCAUAAGGCCCUGGGUUCAAGCCCCAG
rnacentral:tRNA from 1 species